GAGCUAGCUCUCGAGUGAAGAGCGGCGGAGGGUGAGUAAUGUCUGGGAAACUGCCUGAUGGAGGGGGAACUACUGGAAACGGUAGCUAAUACCGCAAACGUCGCAAGACCAAAGUGGGGGACCUUCGGGCCUCAUGCCAUCAGAUGUGCCCAGAUGGGAUUAGCUAGUAGGUGGGGUAACGGCUCACCUAGGCGACGAUCCCUAGCUGGUCUGAGAGGAUGACCAGCCACACUGGAACUGAGACACGGUCCAGACUCCUACGGGAGGCAGCAGUGGGGAAUAUUGCACAAUGGGCGCAAGCCUGAUGCAGCCAUGCCGCGUGUGUGAAGAAGGCCUUCGGGUUGUAAAGCACUUUCAGCGGGGAGGAAGGCGUUAAGGUUAAUAACCUUCUCGAUUGACGUUUCCCGCAAAAGAAGGACCGGCCAAAUUCGU
rnacentral:rRNA from 1 species